rnacentral:tRNA from 1 species
GGGUCGAUGCCCGAGCGGUUAAUGGGGACGGACUGUAAAUCCGUUGGCGGCGCCUACGCUGGUUCGAAUCCAGUUCGACCCA